AACGUAGGGGGCGAGCGUUGUCCGGAAGUACUGGGCGUAAAGAGCUCGGAGGCGGUAGUUCAAGUCAGGUGUGAAAUCCGACGGCUUAACCGGAGGACUGCAACUGAUACUGGGCUGCUAGAGGUAAGGAGAGGAAGGUGGAAUUCCCGGUGUAGCGGUGAAAUGCGUAGAUAUCGGGAGAAACACCAGUGGCGAAGGCGGCCUUCUGGCCUUAACCUGACGCUGAGGAGCGAAAGCUAGGGGAGCAAACGGG
rnacentral:rRNA from 1 species